AGGAGGGUCGAUGGAAGACUCUGAACCCCGCCAGGUCCGAAAGGAAGCAACGGUAAGAGUUCCUUUCCAUGCGAACCCUUUCCUG
rnacentral:SRP_RNA from 1 species